GGCCCAGUGGUCUAGUGGUAGAAUACAUCGUUCGGAGAAAAUCCCCCCAAAAAGGAUUCUCGAUGUGACCCGCGUUCGAUUCGCGGCUGGGCCC
rnacentral:tRNA from 1 species